CGUUGACUCAGACGAACGUUGACUCAGACGAACACGAGCGCAGACAGUGGGGUCACGGGCUCGUGGCCUUUAGCCCGGCUCAGUUUUUGCUCCAGAAUUAAAAGAGAAAUGAGAUUCUGUUUUUGUAUUUUAGGACCAUUACGAUUUUCUUUUGCUUUGUGACAUUAUUUCCAUGAUGAAUUACCUCUUUAAAUCCCACUUUAAAUUCUCAUCUGUAAUGUCAAGAGAAGUUAUUUAAAAUGUAAAGUAUUUCUACAUCAUUGUAGUAUUUGUUGUACUGCCCUUUUUGAUUGAAUAAAAAGCUAUUUUUUAUUGUAAUGCAGAACUACAAUAAUAAAACUAACGUCCAGGUCA